UACGUAGGGGGCUAGCGUUGUCCGGAAUCAUUGGGCGUAAAGCGCGCGUAGGCGGCCCGGUAAGUCCGCUGUAAAAGUCAAAGGCUCAACCUUUGAAUGUCAGUGGAUACUGCCGGGCUAGAGUCCGGAAGAGGCGAGUGGAACUCCUGGUGUAGCGGUGGAAUGCGCAGAUAUCAGGAAGAACACCGACGGCGAAGGCAGCUCGCUGGGACGGUACUGACGCUGAGGCGCGAAAGCGUGGGGAGCGAUCAGG
rnacentral:rRNA from 1 species